AGUAACAGGCUUUUGAAGGCUUUAAAAUUGGGCGGGGAAGUAGAGAUUUAAUUUUAUUAAUGGAGAUUUAAUGUUAACAAGGGGGCUGUAAGUCCUGGGCAAUAAGAAUGUUAAAAGGCAUAUGUACUACGACGGUUUGUAAAAGUCACCAUUUCUAUACUAGCACCACAACCAUUAAGCACCAUGGAAGUUAAACUGGGUGUCUUUAAAAUCCCAUUGUGUAAUGUUUAUUGUUUGAAGCAUCCAAAAUUUCCAAAACUUUUUAUGUUGUUCAUUUUCAGCUUCCUCAACAGAUUUAAAUUGUAUAUUACGGCUUUCUGUAGAUAUUUUAAGCGAGCUUUCGAGACGAGAAAAGGAGCAUGGAGUGAAGCCAGAUCCUGAUAUUGAUGUAUUUAUGAAGUCAACAGCAGCUACAGGACAGAAAUCCAACAUAAUGACUGACUAUGUCUUGAAGAUUUAGGGUUUGAAAUAUAAGCAGAUACAAUAGUAGGAGAUAAGAUGCGCAUAGGCAUUUCAGGAGGUCAGAAGAGAAGAGUGGCAACAGGGGAAUGAUGGUGGGAUCUGCCAAAGCUUUUCUAAUGGACAGCUCCACUCCAUAUCAGAUUGUUCAAUGCUUAUACCACUAUGUUCGCAUUAUGAAAUCAACAAUAGUGAUUUCUCUUCUGCAACCAGCCCCAGAAGUGUUCAAUCUUUUCGAUGACGUGAUUCUUCUAUCAGAGGGCAAUCUGGUUUACCAUGGACCUUCAUAAUUCAUUCUUGAAUUUUGUCACUCAAUGGGUUUUGAAUGCCCUGAAAGGAAAGAUGUUGCAGGUUUCUUGCAAGAGGUAGUUUUUUAUGUUACAAUACUUUAUCAAGAUUGUGAGUUCAACCUCAUCAUUCAAUGGUCACUUAGUAUGAAGCAAUACCAUCUCCCAACUCUUGGUCCAUUUUUUUUUUAGUAACUCAAUAAACUCAAAGUUUCAACUAUCCUUUUCCUAAGAACCCAUUCCUUGAUAUAAUCUCUAACUCUCAGAGCUUAUAACUCUAAAUCUUUUUCCAUUAA